rnacentral:rRNA from 1 species
GAUGAACGCUGGCGGCGUGCCUAAUACAUGCAAGUCGAGCGAACGGACGAGAAGCUUGCUUCUCUGAUGUUAGCGGCGGACGGGUGGGUAACACGUGGAUAACCUACCUAUAAGACUGGGAUAACUUCGGGAAACCGGAGCUAAUACCGGAUAAUAUUUUGAACCGCAUGGUUCAAAAGUGAAAGACGGUCUUGCUGUCACUUAUAGAUGGAUCCGCGCUGCAUUAGCUAGUUGGUAAGGUAACGGCUUACCAAGGCAACGAUGCAUAGCCGACCUGAGAGGGUGAUCGGCCACACUGGAACUGAGACACGGUCCAGACUCCUACGGGAGGCAGCAGUAGGGAAUCUUCCGCAAUGGGCGAAAGCCUGACGGAGCAACGCCGCGUGAGUGAUGAAGGUCUUCGGAUCGUAAAACUCUGUUAUUAGGGAAGAACAUAUGUGUAAGUAACUGUGCACAUCUUGACGGUACCUAAUCAGAAAGCCACGGCUAACUACGUGCCAGCAGCCGCGGUAAUACGUAGGUGGCAAGCGUUAUCCGGAAUUAUUGGGCGUAAAGCGCGCGUAGGCGGUUUUUUAAGUCUGAUGUGAAAGCCCACGGCUCAACCGUGGAGGGUCAUUGGAAACUGGAAAACUUGAGUGCAGAAGAGGAAAGUGGAAUUCCAUGUGUAGCGGUGAAAUGCGCAGAGAUAUGGAGGAACACCAGAGGCGAAGGCGACUUUCUGGUCUGUAACUGACGCUGAUGUGCGAAAGCGUGGGGAUCAAACAGGAUUAGAUACCCUGGUAGUCCACGCCGUAAACGAUGAGUGCUAAGUGUUAGGGGGUUUCCGCCCCUUAGUGCUGCAGCUAACGCAUUAAGCACUCCGCCUGGGGAGUACGACCGCAAGGUUGAAACUCAAAGGAAUUGACGGGGACCCGCACAAGCGGUGGAGCAUGUGGUUUAAUUCGAAGCAACGCGAAGAACCUUACCAAAUCUUGACAUCCUUUGACAACUCUAGAGAUAGAGCCUUCCCCUUCGGGGGACAAAGUGACAGGUGGUGCAUGGUUGUCGUCAGCUCGUGUCGUGAGAUGUUGGGUUAAGUCCCGCAACGAGCGCAACCCUUAAGCUUAGUUGCCAUCAUUAAGUUGGGCACUCUAAGUUGACUGCCGGUGACAAACCGGAGGAAGGUGGGGAUGACGUCGAAUCAUCAUGCCCCUUAUGAUUUGGGCUACACACGUGCUACAAUGGACAAUACAAAGGGCAGCGAAACCGCGAGGUCAAGCAAAUCCCAUAAAGUUGUUCUCAGUUCGGAUUGUAGUCUGCAACUCGACUACAUGAAGCUGGAAUCGCUAGUAAUCGUAGAUCAGCAUGCUACGGUGAAUACGUUCCCGGGUCU